AGGGCGCAUGGUGGAUGCCUUGGCACGAGGAGGCGAUGAAGGACGUGGCCUGUCUGCGAAAAGUCUCGGGGAGCUGACAAGCAAGCUUUGAUCCGGGAAUGUCCGAAUGGGGAAACCCGACUGGAAUGAAUUCCAGUCACCCUCCACUGAACACAUAGGUGGAGAGGAGCUAACCUGGGGAAGUGAAACAUCUCAGUACCCAGAGGAAGAGAAAUCAAGUCAGAGAUUCCCCUAGUAGCGGCGAGCGAAGGGGGAAGAGGCCAAACCAGAGGACUUCGGUCUUCUGGGGUUGUAGGGCUCCCGUACGUGAUCCGUGAUUAGAUAGCCGAACCCAGCUGGAAAGCUGGACCAGAGAGGGUGACAGUCCCGUAGGCGAAAUCGAACAGCGGCGCAGGGAGUACCUGAGUACCACAGGGCACGUGAAACCCGGUGGGAACCUGGGAGGACCAUCUUCCAAGCCUAAAUACUACCUCGUGACCGAUAGCGUACCAGUACCGUGAGGGAAAGGUGAAAAGCACCCCGGUUAGGGGAGUGAAAGAGACCUGAAACCGUGUGCCUACAAGCAGUCGGAGGACUAUGGUUCGUCCAGUCUGACGGCGUGCCUUUUGCAUAAUGAUGCGGCGAGUUGUCCUACGUAGCAAGGUUAAGCCGUUACAGGUGAAGCCGAAGGGAAACCGAGUCUGAAUAGGGCGUCUAGUUGCGUGGGGCAGACCCGAAGCGGGAUGAUCUAGUCAUGGGCAGGUUGAAGCGCGGGUAAAACCGCGUGGAGGACCGAACCGGUUGAGGUUGAAAACUCUUCGGAUGACCUGUGAUUAGGGGUGAAAGGCCAAUCAAAUUCCGGGAUAGCUGGUUCUCCCCGAAAGAUAUCUAGGUAUCGUCUUUGGACAUUCAGUCGCGGAGGUAGAGCACUGGAAGGGCUAGGGGUCUUACCAGAUUACCAAACCCUACCAAACUCCGAAUGCCGCGAACUGUUAUCCAGGGAAGCAGUCGCCGGGUACUAAGGUCAGGCGACGAGAGGGACAGAGCCCAGACCGACAGCUAAGGUCCCAAAGUUCUGGCUAAGUGGUAAAGGAUGUGGGAACGCUCUGACAGCCAGGAGGUUGGCUUAGAAGCAGCCACCCUUCAAAGAAAGCGUAAUAGCUCACUGGUCAAGCGGGCCUGCGCCAAAAAUUUAACGGGGCUCAAGCCAGACACCGAAGCUUCGGAUCUAUGAGGACUACGGUCCUCGUGGGUGGUAGGGGAGCAUCGUAGCGGCAAAGAAGGUUGACCGAAAGGACAGCUGGAGCUUCUACGAGAGAUUAUGCCGCAAUGAGUAGCGAUAAAAGGAGUGAGAAACUCCUUCGCCGGAAGCCCAAGGUUUCCCGGGCCAGGUUAAUCCUCCCGGGGUUAGUCGGAUCCUAAGCCGAGGCCGAGAGGCGUAGGCGAUGGCAAACAGGUUAAUAUUCCUGUACCUGACCUGAUCGUUGAGACGAGCGGGGACGAAGAAGGGCAGCUGAGCCACAUAUCGGAUGGUGGUUUAAGCCUGUAGGCUGGGGACAUACGAAACCAAAGGUGUCCCCUUUAAGGCCGAGAGGUGACGACGAGCGAGGUCUUCGGACCGAGCGAAGUCAGUGAUCCCACGCUUCCAAGAAAAGCCGCGCGUGGAGUGAAAGGUCAGUCCGUACCGCAAACCGACACAGGUGGGCAGGGAGAGAAUCCCGAGGCGCUUGAGAGAACCGAGCCUAAGGAACUCUGCAAAUUGGCACCGUAACUUCGGGAUAAGGUGCGCCUCCGGUACGUGUAGGGACUUGCUCCCGAAGCGGAUGGAGGUUGCAGUGACCAGGCGGUGGCGACUGUUUACCUAAAACACAGCACUCUGCAAAACCGUAAGGUGAAGUAUAGGGUGUGACGCCUGCCCGGUGCUGGAAGGUUAAAGGGACCUGUUAGCCGCAAGGCGAAGCAGUGAACUGAAGCCCCAGUAAACGGCGGCCGUAACUAUAACGGUCCUAAGGUAGCGAAAUUCCUUGUCGGGUAAGUUCCGACCUGCACGAAUGGCGUAACGAUCUCCGCACUGUCUCGGGCUCGGACUCAGCGAAAUUGAGAGUGCUGUGAAAACGCAGUGUACCCGCGGCAAGACGGAAAGACCCCGUGAACCUUUACUGCAACUUGGCACUGAUGUUCGGGCGUGUUUGUGUAGGAUAGGUGGGAGGCUUUGAAGCCGGUGCGCUAGCAUCGGUGGAGCCAACGGUGAAAUACCACCCUGAUGCGUCUGGGCAUCUAACCUAGGUCCGUGAUCCGGAUCAGGAACAAUGUCUGGUGGGCAGUUUGACUGGGGCGGUCGCCUCCCAAAGAGUAACGGAGGCGCGCGAUGGUUCCCUCAGCCCGAUUGGAAACCGGGCGUCGAGUGCAAUGGCAUAAGGGAGCUUGACUGCGAGAUAGACAUAUCGAGCAGGUGCGAAAGCAGGUCAUAGUGAUCCGGUGGUUCCGCAUGGAAGGGCCAUCGCUCAACGGAUAAAAGGUACUCCGGGGAUAACAGGCUUAUCACGUCCAAGAGUUCACAUCGACGACGUGGUUUGGCACCUCGAUGUCGGCUCAUCGCAUCCUGGGGCUGAAGUCGGUCCCAAGGGUAUGGCUGUUCGCCAUUUAAAGCGGUACGCGAGCUGGGUUCAGAACGUCGUGAGACAGUUCGGUCCCUAUCUGCCGUGGGCGUAGGAGAUUUGAGGGAAGCUGACCUUAGUACGAGAGGACCGGGUUGGACGAACCUCUGGUGCACCAGUUGUCACGCCAGUGGCAUUGCUGGGUAGCUAUGUUCGGAAGGGAUAACCGCUGAAAGCAUCUAAGCGGGAAGCCCAUCCCAAGAUAAGAUCUCCCGGGUCGCAAGGCCCCUAAAGGCUCCUUCUAGACUAGGAGGUAAUAGGCCGGGUGUGGAAGCGCAGCAAUGCGUGAAGCUUACCGGUACUAAUCAGCCGUGAGGCUUGGCA
rnacentral:rRNA from 1 species